UACGUAGGGUGCAAGCGUUGUCCGGAAUUAUUGGGCGUAAAGAGCUCGUAGGCGGUCUGUCGCGUCUGCUGUGAAAACUCAGGGCUUAACCCUGAGCUUGCAGUCGAUACGAGCAAACUAGAGUGUUGCAGGGGAGACUGGAAUUCCUGGUGUAGCGGUGAAAUGCGCAGAUAUCAGGAGGAACACCGGUGGCGAAGGCGGGUCUCUGGGCAACAACUGACGCUGAGGAGCGAAAGCGUGGGGAGCGAACAGG
rnacentral:rRNA from 1 species